rnacentral:rRNA from 1 species
CCGCGCUGUCGGAUAUUGGGCGUAAGCGCGCGCAGGCGGUUUCUUAAGUCUGAUGUGAAAGCCCCCGGCUCACCGGGGAGGGUCCAUUGGGAAAAACUGGGGGAAACUUGAGUGCAGAAGAGGAGAAGUGGAAUUUCCACGUGUAGCGGUGAAAUGCGUAGAGAUGUGGAGGAACACCAGUGGCGAAGGCGACUCUCUGGUCUGUAACUGACGCUGAGGCGCGAAAGCGUGGGGGAGCGAACAGGAUUAGAUACCCUGGUAGUCCACGCCGUAAACGAUGAGUGCUAAGUGUUAGAGGGUUUCCGCCCUUUAGUGCUGCAGCAAACGCAUUAAGCACUCCGCCUGGGGAGUACGGUCGCAAGACUGAAACUCAAAGGAAUUGACGGGGGCCCGCACAAGCGGUGGAGCAUGUGGUUUAAUUCGAAGCAACGCGAAGAACCUUACCAGGUCUUGACAUCCUCUGACAACCCUAGAGAUAGGGCUUCCCCUUCGGGGGCAGAGUGACAGGUGGUGCAUGGUUGUCGUCAGCUCGUGUCGUGAGAUGUUGGGUUAAGUCCCGCAACGAGCGCAACCCUUGAUCUUAGUUGCCAGCAUUCAGUUGGGCACUCUAAGGUGACUGCCGGUGACAAACCGGAGGAAGGUGGGGAUGACGUCAAAUCAUCAUGCCCCUUAUGACCUGGGCUACACACGUGCUACAAUGGGGCAGAACAAAGGGCAGCGAAGCCGCGAGGCUAAGCCAAUCCCACAAAUCUGUUCCUCAGUUCGGAUCGCAGUCUGCAACUCGACUGCGUGAAGCUGGAAUCGCUAGUAAUCGCGGAUCAGCAUGCCGGCGGUGAAUACGUUCCCGGGCCUUGUACACACCGCCCGUCACACCACGAGAGUUUGUAACACCCGAAGUCGGUGAGGUAACCUUUUGGAGCCAGCCGCC